ACGAACGCUGGCGGCAGGCUUAACACAUGCAAGUCGAGCGCCCCGCAAGGGGAGCGGCAGACGGGUGAGUAACGCGUGGGAAUCUACCGUGCCCUACGGAAUAACGCAUGGAAACGUGUGCUAAUACCGUAUACGCCCUACGGGGGAAAGAUUUAUCGGGGUAUGAUGAGCCCGCGUUGGAUUAGCUAGUUGGUGGGGUAAAGGCCUACCAAGGCGACGAUCCAUAGCUGGUCUGAGAGGAUGAUCAGCCACAUUGGGACUGAGACACGGCCCAAACUCCUACGGGAGGCAGCAGUGGGGAAUAUUGGACAAUGGGCGCAAGCCUGAUCCAGCCAUGCCGCGUGAGUGAUGAAGGUCUUAGGAUUGUAAAGCUCUUUCACCGGUGAAGAUAAUGACGGUAACCGGAGAAGAAGCCCCGGCUAACUUCGU
rnacentral:rRNA from 1 species